rnacentral:sRNA from 1 species
GUGAUGGCACGAUAACUGAACAUUGAUCGCCAAUAGUUUAGUUUGCAGAUCUGUCCCGUGGCAUGCGUCACAACUCUAAUGGUAGUCUUUCUUCUGUAUCAUCGAUGAUCUCUCGCUGCACGGCGACGGG